UCCACGUCCGGCGCUGUGGUGUGUUAGCUUUGCCCGCUGGCUUACUACAAAAUCAUAGGAUAGAAUUUUUACAUUGACUACCCCACGCUGGGCCUGGACUGGUAUCAGAGACUACCUUUGACUUACCAUGCUUGAAACCCUGAGCGAAGGCUUGUCUAAGAUACCUCCUAAGGGGAAUACUUACACCCAGAAGAAGAAGAAACUAAUGUCAAUUCCGGAUCAUGUGUGUCAGAGCACAAGGUCAACAUUUUAACCAAUGGCACUUUUAAUACGUUCCUGUAUUUAGUGAAAUAAAUUAUCAGUAAAUUUGGGAAUUUUUUAAGAGCUUGAUUGGAAAAUAAACACAAGGGGGAAAAAGGUUGAAUACAAUGAGUCUCUUGAGUGAUGAAGUCAGCAUUUUUAUUGUUAAAUAGAGUGUGUAAAUAAAUGUCCCUUAAUGUGCUUGCUGUUAUUACAAACUUUUCCAUAAUUCACUGACACACAAACAAAUUAAACAUAACUGAAAAUUACAAAGACUGUUUAGUGCUAUAGCCUAUUGAAAAACAAAGAUUGCCAUCAUGUUUAAUAUAUUCAGGAGCACAUAAUAGGAAAGUAAUGUAAUGAGUUCAGAAGACAAGCUUCCUCUAUUGCUGUUCUCAGAAUCCAGACAUUAGACAUGUUCUCAAGAUACACGCCAACCUAUUCUACAAUGGACAAUAAAAAUACUAAUUUGUGAAGCUGCCCAGGAAGUUAUUUUGGUUUUACAGUGAGCCAUGAGGUCAAGCCCCACUCCAGGAAUAUAAACACAUAGUCUGGAUUGGCAGUUCAGUGUGGUACUAAUGGAACACUGAUUUGUCAGAAGUGCCAUUUAUUGAAUGACACCUUUAAUGAAAGGGCUGAUUCUCCAAUCAUUUCAACUUAAAGGUUUCCAGGGCACGACUUCAAGAGGAGCAGGAAAUUCUUUGGUGUCCUGUCCAACAUUUACCCCUUAAUUAGCAUCUCUAAAAUAGAUUAAUUAAUCAUUUGUCUCAUUGCAAUUUGCCUUGCUGUGCAAAAUAACUGACUACACUUCAAAUCAAUUAAUCAGCUAUGAAGCAUUUUAGACACCUUGAGAACUUGAAAGGACCUACAAAAUGUAAAUUCUUUCUUUUCUAACCUUGUAUCAGGAAUAAAUGUCACAAUGUACUGUGAAAGACAAUGAACUUCAUACUAAAUCAUAUCAUUAGAAAUAGCUAUUGUACUUGAACUGAAGGGCUGUUCCAAUGACUUGAGUUGUUAUAAAGUCAGAUUUUAUUUCUCUAAAUGUUGCCCUUAUUGAUAUGGAAUAUUUUGAUUGUUUCUGUUCAUAAUGUUCUGAAUGGCAGUGAAAAUUUCAAGCUAAAAUAAAAAACAGAAGAU